AGCCUUAUAGUUAAAAAUUAUAAUUUUAAAUUGCAAAUUUAAAGGUGGAUAGAUCCUAAGGCUU
rnacentral:tRNA from 1 species